rnacentral:rRNA from 1 species
UACGAAGGUGGCAAGCGUUGUUCGGAUUUACUGGGCGUAAAGGGGGCGUGGGGGGUUAGGUAAGUCUUCGGGGAAAUCUUCAGGCUUAACCUGAAAAGGUCGGGGGGGACUGCCUAGCUAGAGGGCGGGAGAGGAGCGCGGAAUUCCCGGUGUAGCGGUGAAAUGCGUAGAGAUCGGGAGGAAGGCCGGUGGCGAAGGCAGCGCUCUGGAACGUUUCUGACACUGAGGCUCGAAAGCGUGGGGAGCAAACAGG